rnacentral:tRNA from 1 species
GGGAAUGGGGCUCAGUGGUAGAGUGCUUGCCUAGCAUGCAUGAAGCCCUGGGUUCGAUUCCUCAGUACCA